rnacentral:rRNA from 1 species
GACGAACGCUGGCGGCGUGCUUAACACAUGCAAGUCGAACGGUGAAAGGGAGCUUGCUCCCUGGAUCAGUGGCGAACGGGUGAGUAACACGUGGGCAACCUGCCCCAGACUUCGGGAUAACGCUUCGAAAGAGGUGCUAAUACCGGAUACGAACUCCUUGGGCAUCCUUGGAGUUGGAAAGUUUUUCGGUCUGGGAUGGGCCCGCGGCCUAUCAGCUUGUUGGUGAGGUAACGGCUCACCAAGGCGACGACGGGUAGCCGGCCUGAGAGGGCGACCGGCGACACUGGGACUGAGACACGGCCCAGACUCCUACGGGAGGCAGCAGUGGGGAAUAUUGCGCAAUGGGCGAAAGCCUGACUCAGCAACGCCGCGUGAGGGAUGACGGCCUUCGGGUUGUAAACCUCUUUCAGCAGGGAAGAAGCGAAAGUGACGGUACCUGCAGAAGAAGCACCGGCUAACUACGUGCCAGCCGCCGCCGUAAGAC